AUGACUGAAAUAGAAGGAAAAACUGUGUAUUUCAGCUUUUUGAUUCCAUCCAACUCCAAAGAAACAAAGGCUAACUUCUUUACCUUGUGGAGAAAGAUGAAGCCAGCAUUGCAGAGGAACCACAGGAACCAAAUCCUUAAUAAUUAUACUGUAAAUAUGCGUGCCCGUCUCUCAAAGACGCCAAGCAGUAUUUGUGUUAGUUUGCUCAGUGAUCGCAAACGAGAAGCAGCAUCUGCCAAUCUUACGUUUCAAGGUUUACAUCACAGGUGGAAGGUGUGCGUAAUCUGUGGGAAACUACAUAAAUUCAAUCGUUCUCACAAACGAAAAACAUUUUUAUGCUGUGAAAGGAAUCCUUUUUCUGAAACUCGUGCUACAGUUUUCCCAGGUAUUUUCUUGUGUUGUGGUUUACUCUUGCCUCAAAAAUAAAACCCAAAGAAGCAGAAGAAAAGCAGUUUAUGUUCGUGGGUGACAUUUACCCUAUAUGACAGUGCUCCUUUCACUAAGAUUGCAGGCAGCCUUCACAGCGUUAGAUCGAUAUGGAAACUAAUUCAAAUGUUUUUGCGGUUGAAGUCAAAAAGUCAAGUUUAGUGAUACAAAUAAAACAAUGAACUCUAAUUCUAUGCA
rnacentral:lncRNA from 1 species